GCUCGGGCUCGGGCUCGGGCUCGGGCUCCAGGCUCCCCCCGCUCGCUUCCAGCCACUCCACGUGCACAGAUCCACAGGGGCAGCCGCGCCCUCCGGAGCGCAGCGUGGGCGCCUAGCCUGCGGGGCCCCGGAACGUAGGGAGUUGCUAGUGCGGAGAAAGGCACCCACAGCUGCCGGCUCCGGCUGCAGGGCUACUCCCAUUACAGAAGCCGAGUUCUUCCAUAGAGGCACACAAACACGCGCGCGCGCACACACACAAAUACAGCCAAACACUUUAAACACACUUUGCAUCGACCACAGGAUAUACAGUACUGACAGUCGAAAUGAUUGAGGAAACACGAAGCGACCCCGGAAUACACAACCGAAAGAGCCGAGAAGACUCAGUCGGGACACUCGCGGAUCCCACCAUAUACAGCCGAGACGCAAAGUUUUCUAGACACUCUCCCGGCCUCCGGGACACACGAGGGCCACACAGUUGUCUAAACAUUUGCACGGACCCCAGAAUACACAACAGAGAAUCAGAGUUGGUUCAAACACACACACGCAACCCCCGAAGGUGCACAGGCGCCGUUGCUAAAGUCCCCGGAGGGUUCCCCAGAAUAUUCAACAAAACACUAGCGGAUCCCCUCAAACCCUACGGAGGCACGUAACAUGGACACUGAUCCACGCACAAAAACAAACACGUAGUGGACAGAGCGUCACAGUGUAGGCACCAGAGGUAGUGCCCAAAUGUUUGAAGGAUCGGCUUUACUAGAUAUUUUUACAAACCUCAGCCCAAAACACGUGCCCACAAUUAUAGCAAAACACACGGGGCCUCUGUGACACCCCGGCGUGCAGAAAAUCAGGGGCGAAUUUGUAAAGCAAACAGUGAAACGCCCCUGCCCCAGAGUCAGAGGUGACCGGUUCCCGGGAAUCCAGCUUUACUCCAGGUACAUGAGAUACAAAGAGAAAAAUGAAAUAAGUGGAAUAUGAGGGAAUUUCCAACCAGUGAAGGAGAAAACACACACAUGUACAGCACACAGAGCCAAGGUUCCAGCUGGGUUUCCACAGGUACCCUGGCCAUUAUCUGGAAUGAAUAGGGAGGGCAAGUUCAAAGAAGUCUUCCAGUGGUCAGGUAAACGAUGAAGAGAAAUGGCAAGAAAGAAUGAGUCUGUGCCUAAAGAAUCAGAAAGAUGACCAGGGUUCAUCGAAUCCAACUUCCUGCUUGAUGGAAGGUUUUCUUCUACCGCACCUCCAACCAAAGAAUGAGCAUUCCCGUUCUUUUUGGAUAUAUCUGGUGUUCUUCCUGCGACAGAGCUCACUCAGUAUUGCAAGAGGAAGUGCGGUUCCACAUAUAUAUUACCAAUUACGUGUAAUUGGAAAUCAUAAAUUUCUACACAAGUUUCCUA